UGCAGUCGAACGAGAAAGGGCUUCGGCCCGAGUACAGUGGCGAACGGGUGAGUAAUGCAUAGGAAUCAACCCUUUAGUGGAGGAUACCCUCGAGAAAUCGAGAUUAAUCCUGCAUACGUCCCUUCGGGGAGAAAGGCGGCCUCUUGCUGUCGCUAAAGGACGAGCCUAUGUACUAUCAGCUUGUUGGUGGGGUAACGGCCUACCAAGGCUAUGACGGUUAGCCGGCCUGAGAGGGUGUACGGCCACACUGGAACUUAGACACGGUCCAGACUCCUACGGGAGGCAGCAGUGGGGAAUAUUGCGCAAUGGGCGAAAGCCUGACGCAGCGACGCCGCGUGGGGGAUGACGGUCUUCGGAUUGUAAACUCCUGUUAGGUGGGAAGAAAUCUACAGCUUUAAUACAGCUGUGGGAUGACGGUACCAUCAAAGAAAGCACUGGCUAAUCUCGUGCCAGCAGCCGCGGUAAUACGAGAGGUGCAAGCGUUAUUCGGAAUGAUUGGGCGUAAAGGGUGUGUAGGCGGCGUACUAAGUCAAUUGUUAAAUCUCUCAGCCUAACUGGGAGACUGCGGUUGAAACUAGUAUGCUAGAGGAUGGAAGAGAGAAGUGGAAUUCUCGGAGUAGCGGUAAAAUGCGUAGAUCUCGAGAGGAACACCGAUGGCGAAGGCAGCUUCUUGGUCCAUUCCUGACGCUGAGGCACGAAAGCGUGGGGAGCAAACAGGAUUAGAUACCCUGGUAGUCCACGCCGUAAACGAUGAUCACUAGACGUUGGUUUUGCUUUGCAAGAUCAGUGUCGUAGCUAACGCGUUAAGUGAUCCGCCUGGGGAGUACGGUCGCAAGAUUAAAACUCAAAGGAAUUGACGGGGGUCCGCACAAGCGGUGGAACAUGUGGUUUAAUUCGAUACUACGCGAGGAACCUUACCUGGACUUGACAUGUACCUGACAGCCGUAGAAAUACGGUUUUCCAAGCGUAAGCUUGGACGAGUACACAGGUGCUGCAUGGCUGUCGUCAGCUCGUGUCGUGAGAUGUUGGGUUAAGUCCUUUAACGAGCGCAACCCCUGCUGUCAGUUGCUACUCUUUUUAAGAGGCACUCUGACAGGACUGCCUGGGAAACCAGGAGGAAGGUGGGGAUGACGUCAAGUCCGCAUGGCCCUUAUGUCCAGGGCGACACACGUGUUACAAUGGGUAGUACAAAGCGUUGCAAUACCGUAAGGUGGAGCUAAACGCACAAAGUUACUCUAAGUUCGGAUUGAGGUCUGCAAUUCGACCUCAUGAAGCUGAAAUCGCUAGUAAUCGCGCAUCAGAACGGCGCGGUGAAUACGUUCUCGGACCUUGUACACACCGCCCGUCACACCACGAAAGUUGUCUGUACCCGAAGUCACUUUAGCUAACCGCAAGGAAGC
rnacentral:rRNA from 1 species